GUCCCUUUCUCCCCAGGGGAGUCUGGGCCUAGCAGAGCCAUCGGACCUCAAGGCAAAACAGGACCUCCGGGGGUGGCUGGACUUCAAGGAGUCAGAGGUGACACAGGGACGCCAGGACCACAGGGUCCAGUAGGGAAGGUUGGGACUGAGG